rnacentral:rRNA from 1 species
UACGUAGGGCGCAAGCGUUGUCCGGAAUUAUUGGGCGUAAAGAGCUCGUAGGUGGCUUGUCGCGUCGGGUGUGAAAGCGUGGGGCUUAACUCCAGGUCUGCAUCCGAUACGGGGCUGGCUAGAGGUAGGUAGGGGGAGAACGGAAUUCCUGGUGUGGAGGUGAAAUUCGUAGAUAUCAGGAGGAACACCAGUGGCGAAGGCGCUUCCUGGACCGCAACUGACGCUGAGGCGCGAAAGCGUGGGGAGCAAACAGG